AGAGCUCCGGCUUCAGUUGCGAAUUCCCCAUCCCAAGAUCCAAGGGGACAGGAUGGCUUCUCAAUUUCUCCAUCACCAAGCUCUGGGUUCACCUUUCACUGGCAGGUAAGAAAACUAAAGCAUGAGAGGUAAAAUGACCUGCCAAAUGCCCCAUAGCAAGAAAAUGGUGAAGCUGGAAUUCCAACGAAGGGCUCCACAGGGCAGGCUGUGCUCUACCUUCCAUCUGCUCAUGCAGACAUCAAGACCAAGCCUUCCUCUUCCUCCUCCUCCUCAUCCUACUCAAUGUGAAGACGACCAGGAUGAAGACCUUUGUGAUGAUCCACCUCCACUUCGUGAA
rnacentral:lncRNA from 1 species